rnacentral:rRNA from 1 species
UAGCGUAGGGUGCGAGCGUUUAAUCGGAAUUACUGGGCGUAAAGCGUGCGCAGGCGGUUUUGUAAGUCAGAUGUGAAAUCCCCGGGCUCAACCUGGGAACUGCGUUUGAAACUACAAGGCUAGAGUGUAGCAGAGGGGGGUAGAAUUCCACGUGUAGCAGUGAAAUGCGUAGAGAUGUGGAGGAAUACCAAUGGCGAAGGCAGCCCCCUGGGUUAACACUGACGCUCAUGCACGAAAGCGUGGGGAGCAAACAGG